CUUGCAUAGGAACUACAUCACAUGUCACCUCAUCACAAUACUUCCCAAUAGUAAAAGGCACCCUUACUUGCUUAUUAACUCUCACCUCCCCACUAUUGUUAAGCCAUUGCAGUUUAUAGGGUUUAGGAUGUUAUGUAGCUUCCAAACCCAGUUUAUCAACAAACAAGGUACUAGCCACAUUUACACAACUACCCCCCAUCAAUAAUCAUGCUACACAAUUUUUCGUUCACUAGACAUCUAGAGUGAAAAAUGUUCACUCUUUGCAACUUAACUGCCUCAUCAUCAUUCAUUACU
rnacentral:lncRNA from 1 species